CCGAAAGACAAAGAAGAAGAAGAAGAAGAAGAGAAAAGCGUGAUGCUGUUUUGGUACAGUGCGUGGACAGCACCUCUCCUGUCCCUCCAUUUUCUUGGUGUCCCCCCUUGGGGGCGUGGUCAUUAUUUGGAACAUAAAACAAA